GAUUCAAAACUCAUUACCAGAUGUCGCCACUGUCGUUCUUGUUGUUCCUACGUCCCCAUGAAACGAUACGAAAUGGGCGAAACAAAUUAUUGCUAAUUAUACUUAUAUUCCUGUGAUUUCAAAUCCCAAAUUGAACUACGCAUCUUACAUACAUAGCUACUGUCAGUCAUCCCAACAAGUUGACUUAGCGCUCAAUCACUUUCCUUCCAUUGGAUCCUCAUGCUGUCAAAAGCCUAAAACUCAUGUUAGUGAAAAAAUGUGCGGAGAUAAAGUAUUUUCCCAUUACUGCUACCACACCAACCACACUACGUCAAAUGCCUUACUAAAUCAUCACCCAUAUGAUAAAGCAUCAGGAAAUUAAUCCCACCUGAGGAGUAAUGUGUUUGGCUGCUGUAAUUCCAUUAUUACAAUUUUUCAUCAUGAACAAUUCAGUGUGCUUCUUAGAAAAGAGCACUAAAGAUCCCCACGAACAUCCUUGAGUCAAUGCUGGAUUUGUCAAUGACAUAAGAGGGACUUCCACCAACGUUCUUCUCCAUCCUUAUCUUCAAGACCUACGCUCAUCCAGCUUCACUACUUCAGUGCUUCUUGUGCUGCUAGCCUGCUACACAACUUUUCUUGCUUCACUGGCGAGUUGGAUAACUUCAGUUGCUGUGACACACCUGUACACUCACUCACCACGGGAUUAUGGCCAGAGGAAACAUCGAGAAGAUGGACACCAAAACGCGCCGGUAUCUCUAAAAUGUCAUCGCGGAUCAUCAUGUGUUGUUGGUAAUAUGUUUGUGUCUGUGUUAGUUAACCCGUUGGCUACCACGCCUUUGUUCUCCCCUGC